rnacentral:lncRNA from 1 species
CAUAGAAUAUAAUAGAUGAAUCAAUGGAGUUCCAAUCACAAAUCUCUCUAUGAUUUUCUCUCCUAAAACUCUCUCUCUCUCUUGUUGAAAGUAAGAAUACAAUGGUGGCUAAAAGCUCUUCUUGCCUCCUAACACUUAGGCAAGUAUAUAACUAUUAGGUUAAAAACUCGUCAGGGGUAAUCUUGUAAUUCGUUGAACCUUGGGUUUAAAGUCGGCUGGAACCAAGUCGCGCAUCUCGCGUCUCGACAUCGAUCGAUGGUACAGGAUGUACAUCGAUCGAUCAUAAUCUUCAAUCGUCGAGGCUUCUCUUCUGUAUCGAUCGGCGGCACUGGAUGUGCAUCGAACGAUUACUUCUUCUUCGUAUCGACCUUUAAUGGUCAGCUCGGAUGAAAUCUCUUUUAAGCUCCUAAAUGCUCCAUAAUCAUCACUUUACUCCAAGAUACUCCUGAACCUGAAAACAUUCUAAUAAAUAGAAUAUAUAAUAUAUAGAUAGUAAAACAAUUAUAUACCAUGGAUGAAAAUGAGUCAAAUCCAUGGUAUAUCAGUCAUCAAAAUUGGUUUACCUUUUCCGUCACACAUCCGUUUAGAAAUCCAGAGUUAAAGCUUCAAAGAUCCUAUUGACUUAACCGUAGUCUUAGUGGACGGUUAAGUUUCACCGAUUAUGGAGACAAUUUGAGGCGGAGGAAUUAAAGGAAUCAAAUCGAACUAAGCUUCCAUGGAGGCGUUGGUGACCGGAGGAGAAGCGUCACGGCGGAGAGAUAGAAUGGAUGCAUGGUUGACGCGUGUCAUAGGCGUGGAUAGACAUGGCAACACAUCUUUCGGAACCGAAGACGCCUUUUGUUAAAGUCGGUUUGAUUUGUUUUGUCCCUUAAAUGGGCUUUAAUGUAUUAAAUAUUAUGACUCAUCUUGUAUGCCCAUCGGGC